rnacentral:tRNA from 6 species
GCCGACGUAGCUCAGCUGGUAGAGCAACUGAUUUGUAAUCAGUAGGUCGCCAGUUCAACUCUGGCCGUCGGCU